UUCUCCAUUUCACCAGAAGUGAUGCUUGCCAUAUGAUAAUAGUUUAUAAUUGCCCGAUUUCAGUUUAAUUAAAGUCUCUUAUCCAGGACAUUUUUCAAUAGCCAUCUAAUAGUUAUACAUCAUACUAUCAUAAACUAAUAGGUUAAUAAUAAAACUACUAACAUGCUUAAUAUUGAACUGAGAUCAGGCUCUACUUCAAAAAUAGAACCUGACACAAAGUCCCAGGAGUCAAUGUCCAAUUAUAUCUCAAUUUCAACGACUACUAAAUAUAUCAUGAACAAUACUAUAGCAAUUAAAACCAAUCAAAAAGAUACAUCAACAUUUCUUUGUCAGAUGGAUCAAUCAAAUGAAAAGCCGGAUUUUGGCAAUGUGGCCGAAAUUUCGGGCGAAAGAUUAUAUAAACUGGACUGUGUAGCUCAGUUGGUUAGAGCACUGCACCGAAAUCGCAGGUUUGGUUCCUGCCAGAGGGUCUCCAGUUGCAUUUUUCGCAGCCGCUCCUGGUUUGGUCUAAAGUUCUAUAUAAUCUUCUGCUCGAAAUUACAAAAACCCAA